rnacentral:lncRNA from 1 species
AUGUGUGGCAGAUCCAUCCAAACACUUUUGACAUCCGUUUCAUCGAUGCUUGAGGCAUGUUGCUUACCAUUGUAUAAGAUCAAAUCCUGCACGUGCUGAAUAUGGGAGGAAAUAACCUCAGCUAAGAUCUAGUCGUCCAAUGUGAGUUGUUUGCCUUAAGAAAGAAAAAUAAGUUAAAAUCACGUCCAUUGUACUAUUGCGAUUUAUUAAAUAUUACAUAUCAAGCAUGCUCUUAGCAUAUUGUAUAGCUUUAUUUUAUUGGAUAGAGCAUAGUUUAAUCUGUGUAAUUGUUUCUUUUGUAAUGAACUUGGUUUAUUAUCAUUGGUUACUGUAAAAAUGUUAACUGCG